GGCUCGUUGGUCUAGGGUAGGAUUCUCGUUCGGGUGUGAGAGGUCUCGGGUUCAAAUCCCGGACGAGCCC
rnacentral:tRNA from 1 species